ACUUCCCAUUGCUGUAAGUUUUUAAUCCAUCUUUCUACCACUUUUCGACUGUACACUCCAUCUCAGAAUUAGUGCAUCACGUCUUUAUCGAGCAGGUUGAGGCUGUCGUGUGGAUUCCACAUUCUAUAGUUAUUGUGUGACAUCGGUUAAUCCAACUUUCGCUUGAAACUGCAAACUGUUUCGUUUUAGUUAUAAUAUGCGAGGCCUUUAACCUUUUCUAUCUGUGAAUUAUCUGCAGAUAUAUUUGGACAGCAUGUAACUAAAAUAAAAGGUGGCUAACAAAACUUGUUCUCUAAGAAAAGAUAUAUGUGAUGAUUUUCUUGGAAGUACAAGACUUGUGAGCAGUGUCUUGAAUAUCGUAUGUUGUGCAGACGACUAAUAUAAUGAACGAUCAAGGAUGUAAUACCUUUUUAUUGAACAUGGACCAUUGAUUAUGGAGACAACGAGCUUCAUGCAUAUAAUAUAAGGAGCCUAUUCUUUUUAUUAGAUUUUGGCAUGAUCGAGCACAGGCCUUUAAACAAAACCGUCUGCUAGUGAAAAGCUAUUUGUCGACUGGCCAGGUCUUACUUGAUAUAGCUGAUAAAAGGGACGUGCUUCGAAAGGAAGAACCUGUUAGAUUAUACUUGUCAUUCAUAUUGUAAUUUUAGUUAACUCAAGAGUCCUUGUUUUAGAUAUGUAGUCUUCUAGUUCGUCUGAGAUGGCAUGCAUGCUUUCCUUCUUGGUCAAUCAGCAUCUAAAGUACAAUUGCAUUGUAUGUUAAUCCAAUUUUGGAUAAAAAAAAUGUCAUACAACCCUGGAUAAAAACUUCGUAAA